CUUGACGUCCAGCGAACUUGGCAGAGAUGCCUUGGUGCCUUCGGGAACGCUGAGACAGGUGCUGCAUGGCUGUCGUCAGCUCGUGUUGUGAAAUGUUGGGUUAAGUCCCGCAACGAGCGCAACCCUUAUCCUUUGUUGCCAGCGAUUCGGUCGGGAACUCAAAGGAGACUGCCGGUGAUAAACCGGAGGAAGGUGGGGAUGACGUCAAGUCAUCAUGGCCCUUACGAGUAGGGCUACACACGUGCUACAAUGGCGCAUACAAAGAGAAGCGACCUCGCGAGAGCAAGCGGACCUCAUAAAGUGCGUCGUAGUCCGGAUCGGAGUCUGCAACUCGACUCCGCGAAGUCGGAAUCGCUAGUAAUCGUGGAUCAGAAUGCCACGGUGAAUACGUUCCCGGGCCUUGUACACACCGCCCGUCACACCAUGGGAGUGGGUUGCAAAAGAAGUAGGUAGCUUAACCUUCGGGAGGGCGCUUACCACUUUGUGAUUCAUGACUGGGGUGAAGUCGUAACAAGGUAAGCGUAGCGAG
rnacentral:rRNA from 1 species